rnacentral:rRNA from 1 species
AGACACGGCCCAAACUCCUACGGGAGGCAGCAGUAGGGAAUCUUCCACAAUGGGCGAAAGCCUGAUGGAGCAACGCCGCGUGGGUGAAGAAGGUCUUCGGAUCGUAAAACCCUGUUGUUAGAGAAGAAAGUGCGUGAGAGUAACUGUUCACGUUUCGACGGUAUCUAACCAGAAAGCCACGGCUAACUACGUGCCAGCAGCCGCGGUAAUACGUAGGUGGCAAGCGUUAUCCGGAUUUAUUGGGCGUAAAGGGAACGCAGGCGGUCUUUUAAGUCUGAUGUGAAAGCCUUCGGCUUAACCGGAGUAGUGCAUUGGAAACUGGGAGACUUGAGUGCAGAAGAGGAGAGUGGAACUCCAUGUGUAGCGGUGAAAUGCGUAGAUAUAUGGAAGAACACCAGUGGCGAAAGCGGCUCUCUGGUCUGUAACUGACGCUGAGGUUCGAAAGCGUGGGUAGCAAACAGGAUUAGAUACCCUGGUAGUCCACGCCGUAAACGAUGAGUGCUAAGUGUUGGAGGGUUUCCGCCCUUCA